rnacentral:rRNA from 1 species
UACGGGAGGCAGCAGUGGGGAAUAUUGCACAAUGGGCGCAAGCCUGAUGCAGCCAUGCCGCGUGUAUGAAGAAGGCCUUCGGGUUGUAAAGUACUUUCAGCGGGGAGGAAGGCGAUGUGGUUAAUAACCGCGUCGAUUGACGUUACCCGCAGAAGAAGCACCGGCUAACUCCGUGCCAGCAGCCGCGGUAAUACGGAGGGUGCAAGCGUUAAUCGGAAUUACUGGGCGUAAAGCGCACGCAGGCGGUCUGUUAAGUCAGAUGUGAAAUCCCCGGGCUUAACCUGGGAACUGCAUUUUGAACUGGCAGGCUUGAGUCUCGUAGAGGGGGUAGAAUUCCAGGUGUAGCGGUGAAAUGCGUAGAGAUCUGGAGGAAUACCGGUGGCGAAGGCGGCCCCUGGGACGAAGACUGACGCUCAGGUGCGAAAGCGUGGGGAGCAAACGAGGAUUAGGAUA